AUGACAACGCCCCGUAGCAUGAUCUUGAGCCUUUCCUUCAUGGUAGCCUCUGCAGGCCAUGCCAUCCAAGGCAGAACCUGCAGUUGUCUGCAAUUUAACUACCCCAGCUUCGACAUGACCAACAAGAAUGAUUUCAGCUUCAGCCCAGGUUCAGCAAUUGCAAAUGGUUCCCUGAGAAUCGUGCCGAACACCGGAAACUCGAGCCACCAGUCGGGAAGGGUGGUAUACGUAAAGGAAACCCUCAAGCUGUGGAACAGGAAGCGAACUGUGCUCACAUCUUUCAGGACGCAGUUCACGCUCAACAUCCUCCCGGGAGAAGGUAUGGCUUUCAUACUCACAAAUAGCCUGUCGUUGCCCAGGAACAGCGGCGGCCAGUGGCUCGGCGUAUGCAACAACCAGACAGAUGGUGCGCCAACGAACCGAAUAGUAGCCGUGGAAUUCGACACGAGAAAGAGCUACCAGGACGACCUCGACGGCAACCAUGUCGGCCUCGACUUGAACAGCAUCAAAUCUGUUUAUCCGUACCCGCUCAGCAAUCUUUCGAUCAUCCUGUCAAGCGGCUCGGAUGUCUUGGUUAGUAUCAUCUACAACAGCACAUCACAUGCUUUUGUAUUAUCUGUAAGCCAGCGCAACACAAGUGGCAGUGGGGGGCAUAAUUGGCGAGAGAGCUGGCCGGUUGAUCUAUCACGGUACCUACUGGACGAAAUAUAUCUGGGAUUCGCAGGUUCCACGGGUGAUUACACCCAACUGAACCAGAUAAAAUCGUGGAACUUCACCACGAUAGACGACAUACUCGUCGCUGAAAGAACAAGACACGGGAAGUGGGUGUUUUUGGUUCUCAUUGCCUUGGUUUUGCUCGUUACAUGUUCAUCGUUUCUUGUGUUGUUGGUGCGGAGAAGGGUGACACAGCGGAGAAGGCUAGCCUACCGCACGCUCGAGAAAAUGAUCGACGCACAUGGCCCGGUUAGAUUUAAGCUCAAGGAGUUGAAGCACGCGACCGCCAACUUCAGCCCUCACCGUAAGCUCGGUAGAGGCGGCGGCGGCACUGUUUACCUUGGAUACCUGAAUGGGAUCAACAGAGAGGUGGCUGUGAAGCGGGUCUCACUCUCAAGCCGAGGAGAGAAGGAGUUCGUGGCGGAGGUGAACACGAUCAGCAAGCUCUCCCACCGCAACCUUGUCAAGCUGAUCGGCUGGUGCCACGAGGGAGGCGAACUACUCCUCGCCUACGACUACUUCCCCAUGGGCAGCCUGGACAAGCUAUUGUUCGCCAAUGCCACGACGACCACGUACUCGUCAUCGGCGCUCACAUGGGAGCGGCGAUACAUGAUAAUCUGUGGCGUGGCAUCUGCACUCGACUACCUUCACCACGGGAGCAGCAAGAGGAUCCUCCACAGGGAUGUCAAGCCCAGCAACGUGAUGCUCGACGAGGCAUACAACGCGCGGCUGGGCGACUUCGGUCUCGCCCGUGCCAUCCAGCUCGAUGGAGCGACACACCACUCGACGCAGGCGGUUGCGGGCACUCGGGGCUACAUGGCGCACGAGAGCUUCUUCACCGGUCGUGCCAGCCUCGACACAGACGUGUAUGCCUUCGGCGUCUUUGCCAUGGAGGUUGUCAGCGGGAAGAGCCCAAGCAGGUCCAUGCUAUAUGAGACACAAGAAAUGUACAUUGUGGAUUGGGUCUGGAGGCAUUACAGCCUGGGGAAAGUCAUGGAGACAGCCGACACGGUGCUUGGAGGAGUGUAUGACGAGAUGCAGGUGGAUUCUGUGGUGCGGCUGGCCUUGGCUUGCUGCCACCCGAACCCGAGGGAUCGACCGUCCAUGCGGACGGCGGUGCAGGUGCUAAUCGGUGGAGCGCCUGCCCCGACUCCCCCAUUUGAGAGGCCUGCCUUUGUUUGGCCACUGUCAGGCAUGCAGCAGGAGAUGGAGCUGCCGCAAGUUGGUGUGCUCUUCACGGGAGGACAGCUCAUCACCUCCACUUCCCUCACAGGAAGGUGA
rnacentral:rRNA from 1 species